rnacentral:pre_miRNA from 1 species
CAUUAGCUAUUAUCAAAGUUUUCGUGCUCAACUUUGAUCGUCCGUCUUAUUUAUAAUUUUUUUAAAUUAGUAUUUUUCUUGUUAUGAGAUGAUAAAAUAUGAAUAGUAAUUUACUUAUGACUUAUGUUUUUAUUUUUUUUAAAAAAUAUUUAAAUAAGACAGACGAUCAAAGUUGGACGCGGAAAACUAUGACUGUACUUAAA